rnacentral:rRNA from 1 species
CGCGUAGGCGGCGGCGUAAGUCCGGUGUGGAAUCCCGUGGCUCAACCACGGAAUUGCAUCGGAAACUGCGUUGCUUGAGUCAGCGAGGGGAUGGCGGAAUUCCUGGUGUAGCAGUGAAAUGCGUAGAUAUCAGGAGGAAGGCCGGUGGCGAAGGCGGCCAUCUGGCGCUUGACUGACGCUGAGGCGCGAAAGCGUGGGGAGCAAACA